AUGGCGACCGGCGCACGGGUGAGUAACACGUAUCCAACCUGCCGAUAACUCGGGGAUAGCCUUUCGAAAGAAAGAUUAAUACCCGAUGGUAUAAUCAGACCGCAUGGUUUGAUUAUUAGAGAAUUUCGGUUAUCGAUGGGGAUGCGUUCCAUUAGGCAGUUGGUGAGGUAACGGCUCACCAAACCUUCGAUGGAUAGGGGUUCUGAGAGGAAGGUCCCCCACAUUGGAACUGAGACACGGUCCAA
rnacentral:rRNA from 1 species